UACGUAGGGUGCGAGCGUUAAUCGGAAUUACUGGGCGUAAAGCGUGCGCAGGCGGUUAUGCAAGACAGAGGUGAAAUCCCAGGGCUCAACCCUGGAAGUGCAUUCGAAACUGGGUAGCUAGAGUACUGGAGAGGAAGGUGGAAUGCUUGGUGUAGAGGUGAAAUUCGUAGAUAUCAAGCGGAACACCGGUGGCGAAGGCGGCCUUCUGGACAGAUACUGACGCUGAGACACGAAAGCGUGGGGAGCAAACAGG
rnacentral:rRNA from 1 species